CUCUGCCCCUCCCUCCUCUGCCCCCCUACCUCUGCCCUCCCUCCUCUGGCACCCCCACCUCUGCCCCCUCAAGCUGUCAGAGCAGUGGGCAUUGUGCUGGCUGAGUGAAAGUCCAUGGUGGAGGGAAGAGUGGGAUUCGUCUUCUGUGAACCCGGACUUGAAAACCUCCGGCCGCACGGGGGGGUGUGAGACUCCCCGGCUGCCCGCCCCCGACAGGUGCCAGACAGAGGCCGAGCACAGGGCAAGGCCACUGCCGCUCUUUCUACUGGCCCCGUGCGGCACCUCCCACACAGGCACUCGAUAAAUACUGGAUUUUAUUAAAUAAACUCCAGGGAUUGUUUUAUCCGUAAGCCUCAAAUUGAUGUUAUGAAUAAAUAGCCAU
rnacentral:lncRNA from 1 species